GCGGAGGAAAGCAAACUAAACAGGAUUCUCCCAGUAAGGGCCACUGAAGCGGCCGGGAAGAGCUCAACUCUACAAACA
rnacentral:rRNA from 1 species